CCACAUACAGUUGGGCCUUCUAACAAAACUCCUGGGGAAAAACCGGAGGAAGGUGGGGAGGAGGCCAAUUCUUCAUGCCCCUUUUUCCCGGGGUUCCCCCCCUUUUUCAAUGGCCGGUGACAGGGGUACGCAAACGGGAGAGGGGAACCAAUUCUAAAAAACCCGUCUCAGUUCGGAUUGCAUUCUGCAACUCGAGUGCAUGAAGUGGGAAUCGCUAGUAAU
rnacentral:rRNA from 1 species